rnacentral:rRNA from 1 species
GAUGAACGCUGGCGGCGUGCCUAAUACAUGCAAGUCGAGCGAAGCGGGCACGGGUGAGUAACACGUCGAUAACCUCCUAUAAGACUGGGAUAACUUCCGGAAACCGGAGCUAAACCCGCAACUUAUCGCUGUAUCCGCGCUGCAUUGGCUAGUUGGUAAGGUAACGGCUUACAAAGGCAACGAUGCAUAGCCGACCGGAGAGGGUGAUCGGCCACACUGGAACUGAGACACGGUCCAGACUCCUACGGUAGGCAGCAGUAGGGAAUCUUCCGCAAUGGGCGAAAGCCUGACGGAGCAACGCCGCGUGAGUGAUGAAGGUCUUCGGAUCGUAAAACUCUGUUAUUAGGGAAGCGGUACCUAAUCAGAAAGCCACGGCUAACUACGUGCCAGCAGCCGCGGUAAUAC